rnacentral:rRNA from 1 species
GACGAACGCUGGCGGCGUGCUUAACACAUGCAAGUCGUACGGAAAGGCCCUUUCGGGGGUACACGAGUGGCGAACGGGUGCGUAACACGUACGUAACCAGCCCACACCUUUGGGAUAACGAUAGGAAACUGGUGCUAAUACUGGAUAUGUGCUCCUUCUGCCUGGUGGGGGUUGGAAAGCUCCGGCGGGUGUGGGUGGACUCGCGGCCUAUCUGCUUGUUGGUGGGGUAGUGGCCUACCAAGGCGGCGGCGGGUAGCCGGCCUGGGAGGGUGACCGGCCACACUGGGACUGAGAUACGGCCCCGACCCCGACGGGGGGCAGCAGGGGGGAAUAUUGCCCAAGGGGCGCAAGCCUGAUGCAGCAACGCCGCGUGCGGGAUGACGGCCUUCGGGUUGUAAACCGCUUUUAGCAGGGACGAAGCCUUUUGUGACGGUACCUGCUGAAGAAGCACCGGCUAACUACGUG